GAUGAACGCUGGCGGCGUGCUUAACACAUGCAAGUCGAACGAAGCACUUUUUUUAGAAGGAGAUAGCUUGCUAUAUCUGGAUAUGUAAAGUGACUGAGUGGCGGACGGGUGAGUAACGCGUGGGUAACCUGCCUCAUACAGGGGGAUAACAGUUAGAAAUGACUGCUAAUACCGCAUAAGCAUACAGGAUCGCAUGAUCUAGUAUGAAAAACUCCGGUGGUAUGAGAUGGACCCGCGUCUGAUUAGCUAGUUGGUAAGGUAACGGCUUACCAAGGCGACGAUCAGUAGCCGGCCUGAGAGGGUGAACGGCCACAUUGGGACUGAGACACGGCCCAAACUCCUACGGGAGGCAGCAGUGGGGAAUAUUGCACAAUGGGGGAAACCCUGAUGCAGCGACGCCGCGUGAAGGAAGAAGUAUUUCGGUAUGUAAACUUCUAUCAGCAGGGAAGAAAAUGACGGUACCUGACUAAGAAGCCCCGGCUAACUACGUGCCAGCAGCCGCGGUAAAAC
rnacentral:rRNA from 1 species